AUCGAACGCUGGCGGCAGGCUUAACACAUGCAAGUCGAGCGGAGAUGAGGUGCUUGCACCUUAUCUUAGCGGCGGACGGGUGAGUAAUGCUUAGGAAUCUGCCUAUUAGUGGGGGACAACAUUCCGAAAGGAAUGCUAAUACCGCAUACGUCCUAUGGGAGAAAGCAGGAGACCUUCGGGCCUUGCGCUAAUAGAUGAGCCUAAGUCGGAUUAGCUAGUUGGUGGGGUAAAGGCCUACCAAGGCGACGAUCUGUAGCAGGUCUGAGAGGAUGAUCCGCCACACUGGGACUGAGACACGGCCCAGACUCCUACGGGAGGCAGCAGCGGGGAAUAUUGGACAAUGGGCGGAAGCCUGAUCCAGCCAUGCCGCGUGUGUGAAGAAGGCCUUUUGGUUGUAAAGCACUUUAAGCGAGGAGGAGGCUACUUAGAUUAAUACUCUAGGAUAGUGGACGUUACUCGCAGAAUAAGCACCGGCUAACUCUGUGCCAGCCGCCGCCGUAACAC
rnacentral:rRNA from 1 species